ACUAUAACCAUCGGUACUUCUUCUCUUUCUGCUUUUUCAUGACUCUGGGCUGUGUCUACUGCAGCUAUGGAAGUUGGGACCUUUUCCGGGAGGCUUACGCUGCCAUUGAGACUUAUCACCAGACCCCACCACCCACCUUCUCCUUUCGAGAAAGGAUGACUCACAAGAGUCUUGUCUACCUCUGGUUCCUGUGCAGUCUUCGCCCCUCUUUUCUUAGUUCUGUGGCACUUGCCCUGGGUGCCCUAACUGUAUGGCAUGCUGUUCUCAUCAGUCGAGGUGAGACUAGCAUCGAAAGGCACAUCAACAAGAAGGAGAGACGUCGGCUACAGGCCAAGGGCAGAGUAUUUAGGAAUCCUUACAACUACGGCUGCUUGGACAACUGGAAGGUAUUCCUGGGUGUGGACACAGGAAGGCAUUGGCUUACUCGGGUGCUCUUACCUUCUAGUCACCUGCCCCAUGGGAAUGGAAUGAGCUGGGAGCCCCCUCCCUGGGUGACUGCUCACUCAGCCUCUGUGAUGGCAGUGUGAGCUGGACUGUGUCAGCCACAACUCGAGCACUCAUGCUGCUCCCUAUGUUAUUUCAAGGGCCUCCAAGGGCAGCUUUUCUUGGAAUCCUUGAUCAAAAAGAGCCAGUGGGCCUGCCUUAGGGUACCAUGCAGGACAAUUCAAGGACCAGCCUUUUCACCACUGCAGAAGAAGGACACAAUGUGGAGAAAUCUUAGGACUGACAUCCCUUUACUCAGGCAAACAGAAGUUCCAACCCCAGACUAGGGGUCAGGCAGCUAGCUACCUACCUUGCCCAGUGCUGACCUGGACCUCCUCCAGGAUAUAGCACUGGAGUUGGCCACCACCUCUUCUACUUGCUGUCUGAAAAAACAACUGACUA
rnacentral:sRNA from 1 species